GCUCAGGGUGUCGAGGUUGUCGUGCUUCGGUUGGGUUCAUCUGGUGGUGUUCUGCACCGACAGUGCACUCCCAGCCGAAGUUGGACCGUCAGUCGGGAAGAGAUCGGGACUUGUGUUGUCGGUAUUGGGGAGGUAGGCCUUGCGGUUGCCUUCGGGUGCCCAGGGUCACGUAUAGCCCUAUACCGUGGUCUCGGUCAUCUUUCAGGUGUGUUGGAUGGCUGUUCGUCCAUAAAGGGUAGGUGCAGUCUCCCCUUGUGGGAGGUCGGGCCUUUAGCUCGGUUACCUGAUGGUGUGGAGUGGUGUUCCGUUCCCUCGCCGUUUGACCCAGUCUGCGGUGUAGGGUGCGGCACUACCUGCAGCAUUGUGUCCGAAGUUGAUGUGUCCAAGUU
rnacentral:misc_RNA from 1 species